CCUACGGGAGGCAGCAGUGGGGAAUUUUGGACAAUGGGCGCAAGCCUGAUCCAGCCAUACCGCGUGCGGGAAGAAGGCCUUCGGGUUGUAAACCGCUUUUGUCAGGGAAGAAAUCUUCUGGGCUAAUACCUCGGGAGGAUGACGGUACCUGAAGAAUAAGCACCGGCUAACUACGUGCC
rnacentral:rRNA from 1 species